AGUUUACGUAAAAGGAUGUGUUAAUCGCUUAGUGUAUGAGAUGAUAGGUAGUAAAAGACUGUGAUUGACAGUUACUAAUAUUUUGGAUCCACCAACCACUUCUGUCAUACUGGAUAUGUUUUGGUCUAAGUGUUUACUGUGUUUCAUAAUAGUAAUCGUCAUAUGUCUAGAUGUAAUCAUGUCUUCUCCGCUGAGAUCAUAUCAAGAUGUUUUGGAUCAGGAAGACAGAAAGAUGAUUGCCUUGGCUAAUAUUAUGCGGUUAGCGAUGGCUUUACCAGACAAUGGGAUGUUUUUGGAUAAACGGAAUGCUGGAACUGUAGAUACGUUAUAC